CACACCGGUGCUCCAGUCACUCCAGUUUGCAGGAAACCAGUGCUGUUGGACUCCUGUUUCCAAUCAUGUGAACCAGUUUCCUCUGACCUGAUGCACUGAUCUCCCUGGACUUUUCUGCCGGGGGGUGCAGCCAAUCCUAACACUGCUUUAAAGAAACGAGCAAGAGAAAAAUCAGGUUGGCACACACACAUGAUCCGAGGUGCAAGUCAACCAGCAGCAGAAGGCUUAGAGGGAAAUGCAACAUGGACGACUUGUAGGGAACUUUCCUUCAGGACUGAAUUCAGUUUUUAUCCUUUUGUGUAAUUUGUGUGUUGAUUAAAUCAAAUAGCACAGCAUUUUUUAAAAAAGCUUUCUAAAUCAAGUGAUUAUAUCCCAGAAGAAAAGCAGUACUUCAUGUCUUCACAGAUGCAAUGUUUGUUUUUUGUUUUUUUCAGUUUUGAGUUUUUGUGGGCUUCUCUGAUAGUAUAUUUUGACUCAACAACUGAAAAAUACUGAAGUCAURAUUAAUUAUUCAUACUUAAUUACCCGGUACUUUAAAAUGACUAUGCAAUUAAUUAAUUAUUGAAAGAUAUUUAAUCAUUUUUUCAUUAACAUUCAUUCAUUUGCUCUUUGUAGAGGCUUCACAUGGUUGUUUCUGGAGGGGAUAUGAAUCACAGCUGCCAAAAAAAACUGAGCUUUCUCCUCACAGAUAAUGAACAUGAUCCUUUCUUUAAACCUCGUCUCUCUCUGUGGAGCCACUUUYUGAUCAUUUGCUGCGACUGACUGGACGUGAGCUCUUUCCUCCUACAGACUUGUAAUCUGGUUCAGAGUUUGGCUGCUCAUCUGUUCACACUGAGUCGGGCUCUGCUGGAGGAAUCAUCCUGUCGACGGAGAGUUUUUCUUUCCACUGUCACCUCAUGCUUGCUCGGCAUGAGGGUUUACUGCAAAGUCAACAAUUUCCUUCUGAUGCUACGUUUCCACUCAGGAGAAGGUUAGAGACUCGGUGCAAUCAGACAGAUUUCCUUAGAGAUGGCUUUUUUUUAACUAAUUUGAAUAAUAAACUAAACUCGAUUGUUAACCACRAUCA